CUCUUUAAUUUUUCUCUCCUCAGAAGAAACAUACAUCAUCAAUAUCUUGGAGUGAAGACGAGACACAGGCAUCAGGGAACUUGAAGGACCAGGGAUACACUUGGCUGAAAGACAAAGCAGGUAGUGAAGAUGGCAGGAAGCAGCAGGCAAGAUUACGGGAGCUGGCACAAUUAGCAGAACGUCUUGGCUGCACUCUGACCCAACUCUCAGUAGCAUGGAGCAUGAAGAACGAAAACCUACAUUGCGUUUUGAUUGGUGCAGCUACUGUCGAGCAGCUCUUAGAGAAUAUCAACUCCUUGCAGGUUUUACCCAAGCUGAAGCCAGAUCACAUCGCAGAGUUGGAGCGAAUUCUCGACAACAAGCCCGUUCGUCCUCCCAUAGUAUCGACUUUGGCGCAAAGAUGACAAGAGCUUGCAGCGCAGGGUCUUGAGGAAGAGAGUGAGGAGGAAUCUGCGCCUAAAACUCCCUUCUGUGUCAUCAUGUAAAGAUUUCGUUACCCCUUGUGCUGAACGCUGUGAUGUGGUCGCAGCUAACCUCAACAUCACCAUAACAACAACAGAUUUUUCGUGUUCGUCUCCACAUGAUGUUUACCUCCCGUGUUCAUUACCUUCUCCCAUCAUGCAAUAGAUCGCUGAGGCGUGUGUUGGUUACCUCUUAUGAUAGACGAUAUUAGGAAAGGAAAACACUAAGAAGAGAUUAGACCAUUAUUUUUAUCUUUAACCUAACCUAACUAAAUCUAACCUAAGCUA
rnacentral:lncRNA from 1 species